rnacentral:lncRNA from 1 species
UUUUCGUGCCUGUGUUGGUCUUGUUACUUUUGGCUGCUUUCGUUGUCAUUCUAGUUGUUUGCCUCAAACGAAAGCGAGGCAAAAAUUUGCCUCCAUGUGAGAUUCUACAAUAUCAAAAUAUAACAGAUAGGAAAUAUUCACCAAGUUAUGCCGAUAUAAUUACAAUGAAAUUGCAAAUAUCAUUAUCCCUGAGAUGAAUGACAGCAGACAUAGAUAUACAUGCACCACAACUCCAUGUGAAUCACCAAACAUUUCCUCUUCUAUUCAACAGGAAGGAAGCAAUUGCAACAAUUAUGAAUCAUUAUCAAACAAUAGAAAUUCAGUUGAACGUAUUUAUCAAUCGGGAUCUAUUCCUAACAAUGAAUUCUCAUUGAGUGAACAUACAAACGAAUCAACAGAACAGUGGGACAACCAGAAGCGCCUGAGUCAGGAUUUCGUUGCUCAGUGAUACGGUUCACUAGACGACGUUGUCAACACGUAAUGGCGGCCAUUAUUUGACGUUCAAUUUGUCAUUCCACGCUGAAAAGUUGCAUUUAUGACAUCUUGGAUGCUUAAACUUUACCGGCUAAGCAACACAAAAGGUAAAGGUUUAUUCAAGAUAUUUCAGUUAAUCAUUAUCUAAUAAGUCGGAUCCAAAGAAAUUAUUUAAACGGCAAAAAUAAAGAGUAAAAUUAUAUCGAACCACAGGAGUUUGAAAUUCUAUCAAUAAGGGGGUAAAAAUAUACCAAAGUCGACUAUCACAGUAGAGCUUCUCUCGAAGAGAGAAGCGACAGGAAUGCAACGAGAGAAGCUCUACUGUGAUAGUCGACUUUGGUAUAUUUUUACCCCCUUAUUGAUAUGAUUUCAAACUCCUGUGAUCAAACAUGAAAAUUGAAAUCCAAUAUAUAUCAUCAUUUCCUUUUCAUAUACUUGUAUCUUGUAUUGAAUCAACUAUUUACUGGUAAAUUACAUUCGGAUUUCGGUCUAAGGUAUCCGCACUUGUCUCCGGAAAUAUUAUACCCACACAAGUUGUGAACAUCCGUUUUUAAACUGGUCAAGGUGUUCCUCACGAUCUCCAUGGAAAAUAUUCACGCUUUCACUUCUUGCUCAGAUAAUAGAACAUUGUAAACUUCUAACUGCAAAUACGAACCAAAAUGAAUCAAAUUCGAAAGCACGUAUGAAUACGUUUCAUACCGAUUGUAAGUUCUGUAAAAAGGGGGGUAAUUUCAAGUUCCCAAAAAUUGCAAAAUAUAGGCUACUCAAGCUACACGAAUUUUGCUGAACGUCUCGGGUUCAACUCAAAAGUCCAUGUACUAAAUCAUUGGAAUAUAAGACACCCACUUUCACUGUUGGCUACUUUAUAUAUACCUGUAUAAUAUUUCAUUUGGAAAAAAAUAUGUGUGUCCCUGAUUUCAUAUACACCAAAAUGUAAUAUUCAUAAAAAUUAAAUCUUUCAUAAACAUAAGCAGAAUAAAAUACAAAGUGAAUGCGAUUACAGGCAUAGACUCCUCUUUCCCAUAUACAAAAAAAAAAUUAGAUAGCCAUCCUCUAAAUUCAUAUCCCAUAUUUUAAAAGAAAUUUACACAUUGAAAUUAACCACUGAAUCACCCACCCAUUUGUGAGAGCUUACACAUGCAUUAUAAACAUGUAUCCCAGUGACAAGGAACUAUUACGAAUUUAAUUUGCCUGUACAAUUUCUCUUUAUAUCCAUCAUGCUAUAUUAUUCCUAUAGGCUAUAGUCAUAUAUAUAUAUAUAUAUAUAUAUAUAUAUAUAUAUACAAACUAAUUAGAACUGAUAAUCCAUCAUGUCCAUUGACAAUAUUAAUUACUUUCAAAAAAUGUACUCCAACUACAUUAAUAUCAUAAUAUUAUCAAAUUAAUGGUGUUAUGACAAUGGUAAAAGAAACAGCAACCCAACCAAAGAGCAGACAACAAUAUGUUUUUUCUUGGUAAUUCAUUUAGCAAAUUUGUAUUCAUGACUUGGAUUGUGUUUAUAAUAACAAUGCAAAGUUUAAUUGUGCUUUAAAUAAUUUAGUAUAAUUGAUUUAGUAAUUGUAUGUACAUUUGCUUAUAUUUACAGGAUGGAGAAGGAUGUUCACUAUGAAUCAAAAAUUCAAAACAGAGGACUUUUAUAUAUCAACAAAAACACUUGCAGAACAUGCACAUAUAUGAUAUACAUACAGCAAGACAACAGUAAUCAAAUGGAAUGUCAAAGACGAGUAAUGCUGAAAGCAAAAUGAUUUUGUUUAAAAUAGAAAACAAUAUGACUAGAAUAUAUUUAGGGUAAGUAAUCCAAAUAUGUCUGUUCAGGGUAACACCAGUGGGUUAUUUACAAUGUGCUAUGAUUUCAAUCCCACAAAUAUGAAACAAAACAUGAUAGACAUUAUGAAUUAACACUAUUUUGAUAAGGAAAUAGACUGAAAAUAUUUUACAUUUAACAGUCAGAUAAGAAAAUUGCCAAUGGAAUAAUUUUGGAAUGGAAGUUAAAAUUUAUAGUUUAUAGGUUCAAGAAUUAUACACAGACUUUAAGGCCAAAUGAUAUACUUUUAAUAGUUUAAAGAUUUUAUACUAUAUGUAUUAUCUAUUCUGUAUAAUUUCAAGAUAGUUUCAUUUGGAUUUAAAACCUCAUUUCAAGAAUGAAGAGUACAGUAAUUUAAAAUUAAUUUAUAAAGAUAAAAAACAAUAUAAGGGAAUUAACUCUUACAUGAUGUGCAUCAUAUCCAUGAGAAUGUCAGAAGUGUUUAAAUAAACUUGACCAUUUUUUUUUCAGAUAAGAGAACGACUUAAGCAGACCAUAUUUGGGUCAAAGAUGCCAAUAACAUUGAAAUAUAAUAUAUUAUAAUUAUCAUUCAUCAUUACUUUUCAAUUGAAUCAACAAACUUAAUUUAAUAUCAAAAUAUAAUUUUUUUUUAUUUCAGUACACAACACAUCCUGUCAGAAGAAUAAAUUUACUGGAGGAUGAAAAUUUUGAUACCUGGAAUCAGCAAUUUAUAUGAAAUUUGUUAGGAGAAAUAUAUUCAUGUACAGAAUGGUAACCGAGAUGGUUCAAGUGUUUAUUAGCAGACAUUUUUGUUGAACUUAUGCAGGAUCGAUUAAAUGAAACUUAAGCUGACUAUGGGCUCAAUGUGUAGUAAAAAGAGGAUUUUGAAAUAUGCAAGACUCAUCAACCCUAAAAUGUGCAUAAGUGAAAUGUCACCAUAUUUAGUAAAAAAAUCACAUUAUUGACUCAGUUGUUUUCAUGAAAAAAAAAUUUCAAGGCAAUAUCUAUUACUGUUGUAUAAUUAAUAAGAUUCCUCAUUUUAUUGUAUACUACUGAAAAACGAAUAUAUCUUCCCUCUGAACUCAAGUGUUUCCAUUUUAUUUUGCAUGAGAGUAAUUUAAAGAUAGCUCAAAUUACUUUUGGACUAAUUCAAGUUUUACCAUUCUAGAAUUAGUUGACUUUUUUCAUGGUAAAUUAGACUUUUACCUCUUACCCAUAUGUUGUAAAACUCAAUUUUGCUGAAAAAAGUCUGAUUUUGAUCAAAUAAGCUCACUAUUGGAUAUUUAUCACAUAUCACAUACUAAAUAAUCUAUUAAAUUGAAAAUGGAAAUUGGCAAGGUGUUAAAGAGACAACAACCCAACCAAAGAGCAGAAAACAUGAACAGAACCAAUAGUGUGCUUAGAUUGAUUUCCUUCACUUUUGCCCUGUUAUUGAGAUUUAGUGAAAGAAUUUAAUUAUUUUAUCCCUAUCAAUUUAGGGACGACAUCAAAAGAUCAAUGUAGGAUAAAACUUAAAUCAAAUAGUUUGGUGGGGGGGGGGGAGGCAUCAACAUUGCUGCAAGUUUUGUUGAUUUUACAUGUAUCCCUAUUGGUCAAUCAAUUUUUCCCAAAUUAAGUUAAGAAAGGGGGGGGUCAGUGAAAAAAAAAGUUUUUUAUCCUUCAUUGAACUUUUGAUGUUGUCCGUUAGGGAGAGGAGAAUCAGUAUUCAACACUGCAUUACUAUUACUACAUGUAUAUCCUAUCACCAAUUACAAAUGUAUGAUACAACCAACCAUACAACAUAGCCCCUGUGACUGAGAGGAGAAAAGAGAGAUGCACAACAUACAAAACAUAUUCCUUUUGGCUAGCUACAUUGUAUCAUUUGAAAUAUUUCAUUAAUGUUUUUUAAGUGGAACAGUUUUUUGUAAUAAGUUAUUUUACUAUAGGUACUACAGUUCUCUUUCAGUUUGCCUGCUUAAGGCUUGCUUACAGUUCUAAUAUGAAAAUCAGAAGUUUGAGUAUAAUUGCCAAUGAGACAACUCCUCACCAGAUACUAAAUGACUUAAUAUAUUGUAGAUCUCUGACAGCCUUCAACAUUUAUUAUAGCAGAACCAAUAACGUAUAGUAAGCUACAUGUAUAUAAAAGACCCCUAAAUAACAUGACACAAAACUACCUGAAAAGGAAUAUUCUGUGACUGUGUGCAAAAGUGAAAUAUGUUUAAUUAAAAAUAAAAGCAUAUGAUGCAAUGGAUGCAGAUUAAUAAAUAGUCAAUCCAGAAAAAAAUCCUACUAUAGAUCUCCAAUGUUAUAGUUUAUGUGGUUUAUCAAAAAAAGUUGGCAACAAACUUUUACAUACUUCAUUCAAAUAAUUUACAUUAAACAAAAUAACAAAAAAAAAGAUGAACAUAUCUAGGCCUACUGUUGAAUGGAUAUAAAGGUAAAGCACCUAGGACAGACAAAUACUAGUACAAACACACCAGGAUUCUCUUCGAAUUCCCACCACCUAGAAUAGCAAAUGGUCGCCCCCUUUUCCCCCUAUGAAUAGAUAUAUAUUACUAUAUAUAUGUAAUACUAUUAUAUUAAUGACCUAAGAAACUGCAGAUUUAAAGAUAGAAAAGUCAUGAAGAGAUUGAACCUUCACUUCAAACCAGAAAUUGAGAACCAGGAGCCCGCAAAAUGACGCAUGCCUUUGACAAAAUUAAAAGAGUCCCCCCCUUUUUGACAAAAAAAAAGAAAACAAAACAAAACACAUAACGAUAUUUGUAUUAACGAACGAAUAGAAAAUUAUGGAAGAAAUCGAUAUGAACAAACAGAUAAGUUGUUCAUUUUAAAAACUCAGCGGCCGGUAACAAUAUGCACGAAAUGAAUCUUGAUUAACUAUAAGUACGAUGCCAACAACAUGAACAAGUCAAUCUCAUGAUGAUGUAGGCCUAAAACUGUUAGUUUACCAAGUAAGGCCUGUUUUGGUAUAACGUUUAUAUGGACUCAACAUAUUGCAUGACUUUCUUGACAUUAAGAUAAACAAAAUUGCUACAAAGAAGAGAAGAUUCCAACUUUUAAUGACAUUUUACGUUGACAUUUUCGGCGCCGGAAAUUGACAACGUUGAUCUAUGUAUUGACACAACAUCGGAUGGGGUCGAUUCCGGCAUAUUCUGUUAAAAAAUCAGUAGCACUUUAAAUUUAUUGAUAUCUUAAGAUAUAUUCAUUUUGUGUCAAUGAUAUUUAGUUGAUAUUUAAUUUCGAAAGAUGAAUAUCUAUCGCGUACUUCAGAAACAAGGUUAAAGGAGGACCACGCCUCCAUAGUUGGGACAUACAAAAUAAAGAUGACCGUUCUCCAUUUCUACUCGAUAGAAGUGCCUAAUUUUUUCAUAACAUCUGCAUUAUGUACCAAAGAUUAUAAAAUGAACGUAUAAAAAAAAUCGAGGCGGUGAUUUUUUAGAAUCAUCAAAUAAUUAUAGCAGACAAAUAGACGUAAUAGAGAAAUAGGCGAAAAUGGCGCCUUCUUCAAUUUCGGAAAAAAAUCUAUAAUUUUAAAACGUAUUGACACAUACGGAUAUUUUUAUAGGGGUUACAUAUAUAAGGAUUCAGAUAUUCUUGAUAGUUGAAUGAAUAUUUACUUUAAAAAGAGAAUAUUUUCCAAUUUCUAAUUCUACCGGCCAUGUAAGGAAAAACGUAUAAAAAAUUGAGACCCCUACUUUAAAAUGGGUACAAUUUUUUGCCCUACUUUGGACACUCGUUUUCUUUACGGAUUUCGAUGUGAAAAACUAGCGAAAUUACGAUGUAAAAAUUUUAGGAUAAUUGAAGGAUAUGCUUUUUUUUGUACCCCUUUUUAAUAUCGCUAUUUAAUUCUACAGUGCAGAAAAUCGAAAUCCGAAAUUCUAUGUUCAGAUGUGAAAAAAUAAGAUUUUCUUUUAUUUUUUUGUUCAAACAUCAAAAUAAUAAGAAAACUCAUAUAUUUUACUCUUAUAAAUGUGCUUACAAUCAACAGCAUUUACCGCCGGUACUUUGCCGUAAACGAAUGAUUUUUUUUUUUACAAAGCGCGCCAUUUUUCAGUUGACGUCGGCCGACGCAAAAAAGUCCAAUUUUCGGCGUAGGACUACUGAGCGCUGCCGAAUCACAUUUUGGCCAAAAAGGCACACCCGGUUGUCCUACUGGAAGAGAUAAUGUCAUCAUCAAUGAAUCCGAGUCUAGUGCACUUUUAAUCACUAACGAACCCUCUUGAAUCAGAUAUUCAUGUGUAUUCAUCAACAUCUGUAUAUAGUAAUGUGAUAUGAUUUACAAAAAAAAUGUACUGAAAUCAUUAUGUUUAUUACUAAACUAACAUAUCAAUUAAUCAUAUUUCAAAAAAUGCACAUGUACUAACAUAUACAUAUCAUAAAGACAUGAUUGUCAAACAAUCGCACGUCAGUUGAACAUAUUUAUCAAUUGAGAUAUAUUCUUUACACUCAUUUAUCAUCGAGUGAACAUACAAACGAAUCAACAGAAGAGACAAAGCCAUCAUCGAUGAAUCCGAAUUUAGUGCACUAUCAAUCACUAACCAACCCUAUUGAAUCAGAUACUCAUGUGUAUGCA